AAAAUUUGAUUUGGAAAUUCUAACGAAGAACAACAUUAAGAUUGCAAUCCACUGAUCGCCGACCGCCGUGAGCCGCGGGGGUAAGUUCUGCGUCUGGCUCGCCUGGACGCGCGUCGCCUCCUUGCCAGCGCUCUGGCUACAGCCCGGUGAUUCCGCAACGGUGCUGCGUUUUCCGAUCAAAAUAAAAAAAUAUAUAUUUUAAACCUCCGUUUCCAGCGAGAACACCGCUGCUCAAGGCCAGAGAUGGACGGUCCAUGGUUGUUCGACCACCGCUGGACCGUCAUUGCGAACGGUUCUUGAUGUAUGGCGACGAGGGUUUCCGUAGAGACCAAAGGAGAAGAUGAAGCGAAAUUUCAUUUUGGUCCCC
rnacentral:lncRNA from 1 species